rnacentral:rRNA from 1 species
AUGAACGCUGGCGGCGUGCCUAAUACAUGCAAGUCGAGCGAACAGACGAGGAGCUUGCUCCUCUGACGUUAGCGGCGGACGGGUGAGUAACACGUGGAUAACCUACCUAUAAGACUGGGAUAACUUCGGGAAACCGGAGCUAAUACCGGAUAAUAUAUUGAACCGCAUGGUUCAAUAGUGAAAGACGGUUUUGCUGUCACUUAUAGAUGGAUCCGCGCCGCAUUAGCUAGUUGGUAAGGUAACGGCUUACCAAGGCAACGAUGCGUAGCCGACCUGAGAGGGUGAUCGGCCACACUGGAACUGAGACACGGUCCAGACUCCUACGGGAGGCAGCAGCAGGGAAUCUUCCGCAAUGGGCGAAAGCUUGACGGAGCAACGCCGCGUGAGUGAUGAAGGUCUUCGGAUCGUAAAACUCUGUUAUUAGGGAAGAACAAAUGUGUAAGUAACUAUGCACGUCUUGACGGUACCUAAUCAGAAAGCCACGGCUAACUACGUG